CUUUUCACUUUUCUCUUUUGCCACCAGAGGGCAGGUGUAGGAGCAGAUGAGAAAAUGAAUAGGUUCUCUCAUGGGGAGGAUAAAUCUUCAUACUGCUUAUUCCAUGUCCUGGGAAUUCUUUCUUACUUCUCCUCAUUGUGAACCUCAUUGCAUAUCUGUGGAACUGUGCCUCAUUUAAGGCCUGGCCCAAGGACCCUCUGACUUUCUAUGUGAGAGGCCCUCACAGAUGGUCGACACCUGAUAAAUGUAUUUACCGAAGCCCUGCAACAUUGGUUUGAGCUCUGGCCUGAAUUUCUGGAUGAGAGGUGCCCCAUCAACCGGAAAAGGUUUUGGCAAUUGUGAAUGAAAUCACCGUAAAUAUUCACAUGGAGAUUUUUGUGUGGACUGAAGUUUUCCAAUCAGUUUGAUUGAGGAUCUUCAAGAUUUCCUUUAUGAGGAAGUCCCUUCAAUUUACAGAAGACCCAUCAGGGUGCCAACUUCCAUCUGGACACAGUUGUUAAGAAUAUAACAUGGGUGAUGAGCUGAAAAUUGGAGGAACUGAAAAACAGAGCUUUUAAAUGUCAUUUCUAGUUCUGCUCAAGAUCAAAAUUAUCUUAUAGUUGGGAGGGUACCUGAAUCCUCCCCCACCCCACUUUUCAUUUCAUCUAAAUACCAGCAAAGGAGAGGGAAUGAGGCAAUGCAAUGUUCCUGAGAAUUCAGAUAAUCUCAGGGAGUUCAGUUUUCUGCAGUAUUUUCUAUUGCAAUGCUAUACUGAUUUCCGAUGCAUCACCAGUGACAUGUAACAAUAAUUUCUAAAGUUCAUCGAGGGCUUACUCAGUUUGAAAUCCUUUAUGCAUUGUAUAUAAGUAUGCUACAUACAUCAUAUUUAAGUAAUUUCAGCCAGGGCUUCUCAACCAGGGGCAAUUUUGCCCUCCCCACUCUCCAGGGGUUUUGGCAAUCUCUGGAGACGGUUUUGGUUGUCACAACUUGGGUGGUGGCGGGGUGGCUAGCUCUAGCGGCAUGCAGUGGGUAGAAGCUAGAGGUGCUGCUAAACAUUCUGGGACAGGCCCCUGCAUCAGAGGUCACCUUAGCCCCAAAUGUCAAAAGUACUGAGGUAGAAAGAACUUGACUUAAUCCAUUCAGCAACCCUGUGAGGUGGGUAUUUUUAUUACUUUUUGUCAUUACAAUAUAUUUGGCCUGUAACAUUGCAUAUAUUUAAAUAGUACAAAAUGUCAAUUUGACACACUCACAUUGUAAUACGAUUGCCACUGGAUCAACAAUUAGCACCUUCAUCACCUCACCUAAUUAUUCUUUCUAAUCAUGGAAUGAUUAAAUUCCAGUCUCUUAGCAAGUCUGAUGAUUACAGUACACUCUCGUUGUCUAGAUUCACUGUGCUGUACGAGAGGUAGGUAUCAUUAACCUCAUUUCCAGAAAAGAGAACUGUCACAGAGAAGUGAUCCCACAGCCGAGUAAGUCGUGGUGCCAGGAGUGAAAAUUUAGCUCUCCAUUACUGUCUCCAGAGAAUGUUGAUGAUCACCGGUAGGGUCUGAGUUUUGGGGCAGAGCACAGAUCCCGCCUCAUUCUGGGCACUGGCCUCAGCCAGGAGCUCUUCUUGCCGCUGCAAGAUUAACAGAGGACAACAUCCCAACUAUCAGGCUAGGAAGUCCAAGAGACAGUUGUUACUUGAUUGCAUAUCCUGUAUGACUGAACAAAAGAUGAGUAAAAGGAAAACAGAAGACACAA